UAACCACUCAAGCUCUCGCUUGGUAUUGGGUUUCGCGGUUUCGCGGCCCCUAAAAUCAGUGGCGGUGCCUGUCGGCUCUACGCGUAGUAAUACUCCUCGCGAUUGAGUCCGGUAGGUCUACUUGCCAGCAACCCCUAAUUUUUUCUA
rnacentral:misc_RNA from 1 species